rfam:Treponema maltophilum ATCC 51939 genomic scaffold aczIZ-supercont-complete, whole genome shotgun sequence.
ACCGACAUGGAUGUUGGACGAGCUUUAAAUAUGUGAGUUUAUGCAUCGCAUAAACUCGGAGAAAGAAUUGUACAGGAUGUACAAUUCUUUCUCACCU